rfam:Triticum aestivum genome assembly, contig: Triticum_aestivum_CS42_TGACv1_scaffold_177596_2DS
AUCACACUCUCUCCGUCCGGAAAUACGUGUCCUAAAAAUGGUUGUAUCUAAACUUAUUUUUGUUAUAGAUACAUCCAUUUUAUUCAUUUUUAGGAUAAGUAUUUCCGGACCAAGGGAGUAGUAC